rnacentral:rRNA from 1 species
AAAUGAAUUGACGGGGGCCCGCACAAGCGGUGGAGCAUGUGGUUUAAUUCGAUGCAACGCGAAGAACCUUACCAGGUCUUGACAUCUGCAGGAUACUGAUGAAAAUCGGUAGUGCCUUAUAGGAGCUGCAAGACAGGUGGUGCAUGGUUGUCGUCAGCUCGUGUCGUGAGAUGUUGGGUUAAGUCCCGCAACGAGCGCAACCCUUGCUAUUAGUUGCUAACAGGUAAGCUGAGCACUCUAAUGGGACUGCCUGUGACAAGCAGGAGGAAGGUGGGGAUGACGUCAAAUCAUCAUGCCCUUUAUGAUCUGGGCUACACACGUGCUACAAUGGAUGGUACAGAGAGCAGCGAUACCGUGAGGUGAAGCGAAUCUCAGAAAGCCAUUCUCAGUUCGGAUUGCAGUCUGCAACUCGACUGCAUGAAGUCGGAAUCGCUAGUAAUCGCGAAUCAGCAUGUCGCGGUGAAUGCGUUCCCGGGCCUUGUACACACCGCCCGU